UACAGAGGGUGCAAGCGUUAAUCGGAUUUACUGGGCGUAAAGCGUGCGUAGGCGGCCUGAUAAGUCGGAUGUGAAAUCCCUGGGCUCAACCUGGGAACUGCAUUCGAUACUGUCUGGCUAGAAUUCGGUAGAGGGCGGCGGAACUCCGGGUGUAGCGGUGAAAUGCGUAGAUAUCCGGAAGGACACCGAUGGCGAAGGCAACCACCUAGGCCUGAAUUGACGCUGAGGCACGAAAGCGUGGGGAGCAAACAGG
rnacentral:rRNA from 1 species